GGGAGCUAAUACCGGAUAAUAUUUUGAACCGCAUGGUUCAAAAGUGAAAGACGGUCUUGCUGUCACUUAUAGAUGGAUCCGCGCUGCAUUAGCUAGUUGGUAAGGUAACGGCUUACCAAGGCAACGAUGCAUAGCCGACCUGAGAGGGUGAUCGGCCACACUGGAACUGAGACACGGUCCAG
rnacentral:rRNA from 1 species